rnacentral:lncRNA from 1 species
AGGAGCAUAAGGUUGGUUUGCUUGAAGUGUUUAGUGUGUUUUACAGGUUUUUGGGUAGUCCAUUUUAGAGGUGACUCUGCCGAAUUUUUGGUAGAGUUAUCCCUAAGGUGGGCCCCACAGGGCCACCUCGGUUAUGGUUUUGUUGUAUUUGAGUGUCUGAGACGAGCGACAAUAGCUUUGGGCUGUCUCUAGAUGAUAUGAUUGCUUCGGGAAUCAGGAUUGUGGGUAGAAAUGGACUUGGUAAUAAUGGUGGUUUUGACUUUGAACCAAGUUUCGGGAAAGAUGUUUUGUGAUGUGAUUGGUUGUUAAGUAGCAUUUGAAAUAUUAUUGGAAGUUUUUGGUGGUUCUUUGGGAACCUCAGUGUUGGAAACCAUUUACAGAGAAAAUUGAAUAAUUAUUCUGGGUUGUUAUGGCUAGAGUCUUUGUUUU